CAAUACUUUAUCGGAAUUAGUGGCGGACGGGUGAGUAACACGUAGGUAACCUACCCCUGGGCGGGGGACAACUCCGGGAAACCGGAGCUAAUACCGCAUAAGACCACGGAUUGAGAUAUCUGCGGGAAAAGUGGUAACACACCUGGGGAUGGGCCUGCGGCCUAUCAGGUAGUUGGUGAGGUAAUAGCUCACCAAGCCAAAGACGGGUAGCCGGGCUGAGAGGUUGAACGGCCACACUGGAACUGAGACACGGUCCAG
rnacentral:rRNA from 1 species